UUCCUAGGUCUUCCUAUAUCUCUUUUUCCUAUAGGGUGGUAGUUAAGAAUUUUCAAGGGAAUCCUUUCUUUUGGCAUUCUGUUGACAUGCUCCCUCCACUGGUUGCGAUAUGAUAUAACUUUUUCAUUUAUAUUAAAGACACCCAGCUCUUGCCUUAUAUCCUCAUUUCCAAUGUGGUCCCGGCGGUCUAUUUGUAUUUAUUGUAUUUUGUAUAAUAGAUAGAUGUAUAUUAUUGUAUAGUUGACUUAGGUCUUAUCCUUCUAUUCAUUUCAUUUUGGCGCAUUUAUUUUAUUUGCCUAAUAUUAUACAUGUUUCAUUUUUAUUCUCUAAUAUCAUUGUUUAUUGUAAUUAAGUAGAGAUGUAUAUAGUUGAUAUACGUUGUCAAAUUUAUUGUUUCAGAUAAUGAGAUUUCAGAUUCCUUUUCAUAGAUAGAGAGGUACAUUAUAAUACCUUCUAUAGAGAGAAGACUCCUGGAAGCGACUGACUCAAACUAUAUAUUUCUUUGUUCAAUUAAAUUGUUACAGUAAUGUGUUUUUCCAGUUAAACUAAUGAGAUUUUUGUUUCAGAUAAGGAGGUUUCAGCUUCUUUCUCAUAAUAAUUUAUUCAUUCAGGAUGAUUAUCUAUAUAGCUUCUAUAUAGAGAAGCCUUUUGGGACUAACACCAAAUGGAGCUCAUGAUCGAAGUAGACUCCUGGAAGCUAAUGACCUGAAACGCCAACCCCACCACAGUGGGAAAAGUAUGAAGUUCAAGACGAAAUUUUGGCUACCGGUUCGCUACUUCAUGGUUCAAAGUAUUCUAGUGGUGGCAGCUCUCUUUUGGAAGUUGAACGUCGGUGGCAGUCUUCUCAUCCUAUAUUCAUUUGCAAACGGAACUUCUAAGUUGUUUAAUCUUAUUGGGACGUACACAUAAUGCCUAUUUGUGAAGACAACAUGUGUGGACUUGCUUUCAUUCAACUUAAUCCGCCAGGUUCUAGUCCAAUUUUCUUGAUGGCUUCUUGUGCUUUACUUGUAGCUUCCUCAUUAGAUAUAAUUUUGCAGAAGUCCAGUUGAAUAUUCAUAUACAUUUUUGCCUGUUAUCAAAUUUAUUCAAUUUAACUAUUAUAAAUUUUGUUCCUUCCAGUUGUAAGUAAGUUUUUCCAACUAAGUCAUUUGUCCAUUGUAAUCAACUUCUGGUGGAACGGAUUAGCUGAAAAUAAAUUUGAGAAGGCCAACUUUUGUAAACAUAGUUAAGUUUUUAGUUUGUAAGUGAAUUAUUUGUAACUUUGUACCCUACAAUAAGCUUAGCCCUGGCUGGUUAAGGCCCGCCGCAAAGUAGAUCCACGCUAGUCCACGAAAAGCAACCCACGCCGUGGGAUGUUUUGUAAACCAUUGCUAGGCUUCUCUAGACAUCUGUGUAAUGAUAAUAAUACAUGCAAUGGAUAAUCCACUUGUCAGCUGAUUGAUUAUGAAUAAUUCUAUAGGAUGGUUUACAAAACAUCCCACGGCGUGGGUUGCUUUUCGUGGAUUAUCGUGUGUUUACUUUGCGGUGGGCCU